CCCGGUGUUACACGCCAUAGUGUCCUCCCCCGCCUAAAUGUCCUCCCCCCCGUCGGGUCCCCGGUGUCGGAGCGAACAUAAACAAACAAAGGCCAGCUGAUAGCAGUCUCACGCCAGAGUGUCCACCACAACAAUGGCUUCGGAUCUCCGCGACAGGAUUUUCCAUUUUAAUGAGAAUUUAGUCCCGCUUAAGCAACUAAUUCUUAACAACCAGUAUCCACCAGGCUUGACUGGAAAUCAAAGGAGAAUUUUGAGAAGACAGAGGGAACAUCACAUGAUAAAAGAUAUCAACUUGUACAACUUGCCAGACUUUUGAGGUUGUAAAGACACAAGCUCCCACACUUAAACAAAUUAAGGUGUCUCAACCCAUGGAAGUCGUAGGCAUGGAUCUUAUUGGAAAAGCUAAGGUAGUGUUGCAAGCAGGCAGUGACAAAUACAGUUCGGCGACAUGACAUGCUCAUCUUGUCCAGGACCUCAUCCAGUAUAAUGAAGGGCAAUCAGUUUCUAGUUUAUUAGAAUGCAUAUGAGAUUUUAAGAUGCAUGAUGAACCCUUGCAUGUUUUAUGGCAGUGUUGUCCAAACUGGGGUCCGCGUACCCCUCGGGGUACGCAGCAUAGAUCAAAGGGGUACGUGAAAAGACGAUGAACACACACACACACACACACACAGCAGAAACUUCCCAUGUUCUAUGAAGGAAAAGAGAGAGGGAGGGACGGUUGGUUACCUAGGAAGGACGCGUUUUAUGCGUAAUGUAAAUAUAAUGUAAUGUAAUGCAAAUAUGAUAUAUAUAAUUGACUUUAGUCAGCCAUAGGGGGUUCGUAACAGUGGGAGAAUGUAAUAAAGGGUACAAUAGGCGAAAAAGUUUGGACAGCACUGUUUUAUGGUGUCUUAAAAGUUUUAGGUGAACAUCGUGAAAUAUAUUAUAUUUUACCUGUAAAAAUGUAACUCAUUUAUUUACUUUUGCUAAGGUUUCACAUCAGGAAGUAUGGUCCCUCUUCUUACUGUUUCUUAUUAUUGUGUGUACAUAAACACAUUACUUUCUCACACUUAUGUUGGCUAAUAGUUCACUCUAUGAUGGCAUGUUCCCCUGCAAUGACCUCUGUAUCACAUUUACUGCUUUCUCUUACUUAUUUUUGUUAUGUGGUUGCCACUAGCAUUAGGGCCCCCAGUUACUGUUAUUAGGUUAUAAGAAAUAGCAGCUGCACUUAAUUAGCCUAACUGUUACCUUCUUCUGACAAAUUAAAACCUAAAGGGUGGGAAUGUACAGUGAAAGCCAUAAAUCCUCGCACAAACUUCAAAAUUAUGGCGGAAAAAGUCGGACCAGAAAACCCUGUCACCCGCCCUUUAGGGUUUAACCUCCCCUGCUUCAUGCCCUGGCCAGUAAUCCUCACAUCCCCUGCACUUAGGAGUUUGGUUCAGUAGGUUUUGUAUGCCUUAUUUAUAUUACUAUAAAAUCUUACCAUCCUCACACCAGAUAAGAUAAUGGUUUUUUGCAUGUGGAAUUUUGUAUCUUUAGAGAUCUUACAAAUGACAGAGUGUUGCUCUGCGAUGGAUUUCUCAAUUGACUUCAUUGAUUUAGAAAUGAUGAGUUAAGGGAUGAUGAUAGAAGAUACUUUGAUGCAGUAAAUACUGUUACAUUUACAAUUGCCACAAUUUAAUUUUCCACAAUAUUUUGAAACAAAACAACUUAGCAUUCAGUGUUCCAUUGUAAUGACACCUUUAUUAUCUGUUUUCUGCCACCACAUAGUAAGUCAUUACAGUGCUGCUCCUCAUGUUUUUCAGCUAAAUGAUAUCCAUCGUGGGGAGGAAAUAUGCCACUACAUGUAUACUGAUAUAUUUUCACUGUAUUACAGGACCACUGGCGAUGACCAAGAGUGGGAGUCAGUACGUAUUGACAAUUGUGGAUUACUUCACCAAAUAUGUACUGUUGUUCCCUCUUCCAAGAAAGGAUGGGACAGGUGUCAACAAUUGCAUCAAGCAGUACAUAAGCAUGUAAGAUGAAUUUCAUUGAUACGUACUGGUUUUGUAGGUCUUUGUAUUCCAAUGGGACAAUCCUUAGUGUAAUAAGAUAUCAAUAGUAUUUCCUUUACAGUAUUCUUAGGUAGAAUAAGCAUAAACAUACACAAAAUAUAUUUUAUGUAAAAUAUUUAUGGCACUGUAAGGUCCAUGAGGGAGAAUGUGUAAGCUCGCUGUACCAUAUGGUGUGU